CCUACGGGAGGCAGCAGUGGGGAAUUUUGGACAAUGGGCGAAAGCCUGAUCCAGCAAUGCCGCGUGCAGGAUGAAGGCCUUCGGGUUGUAAACUGCUUUUGUACGGAACGAAACGGUCUUUUCUAAUACAGAAGGCUAAUGACGGUACCGUAAGAAUAAGCACCGGCUAACUACGUGCCAGCAGCCGCGGUAAUACGUAGGGUGCAAGCGUUAAUCGGAAUUACUGGGCGUAAAGCGUGCGCAGGCGGUUAUGUAAGACAGUUGUGAAAUCCCCGGGCUCAACCUGGGAAUUGCAUCUGUGACUGCAUAGCUAGAGUACGGUAGAGGGGGAUGGAAUUCCGCGUGUAGCAGUGAAAUGCGUAGAUAUGCGGAGGAACACCGAUGGCGAAGGCAAUCCCCUGGACCUGUACUGACGCUCAUGCACGAAAGCGUGGGGAGCAAACAGGAUUAGAUACCCUGGUAGUCCACGCCCUAAACGAUGUCAACUGGUUGUUGGGUCUUCACUGACUCAGUAACGAAGCUAACGCGUGAAGUUGACCGCCUGGGGAGUACGGCCGCAAGGUUGAAACUUAAAGGAAUUGACGG
rnacentral:rRNA from 1 species